GGCUGCUGUCCUGAGCUCCCCCUGCUCUACCCUGAGGCAGACAUCCACAGCCACAUGAGCUCUGGAGGUCUGGUGGUGAAGAGUCUGGACAGGGACAUGUUUGAUGCUGAGCCCAUGAAGGAGCUGAGUGGACGCAGGCCUCUGGUCUGUACUGAGUUCCAGGGACAGAGGGUCAUACUCAAGGGUUACACUGUGAAUGAGGAGGCAGAGGCCAGAGUGUUGGAGAGAACCAC